rnacentral:rRNA from 1 species
AUUGAACGCUGGCGGCAUGCCUUACACAUGCAAGUCGAACGGCAGCGCGGGGCAACCUGGCGGCGAGUGGCGAACGGGUGAGUAAUAUAUCGGAACGUGCCCAGUCGUGGGGAUAACGUAGCGAAAGCUACGCUAAUACCGCAUACGAUCUAUGGAUGAAAGCGGGGGAUCGCAAGACCUCGCGCGAUUGGAGCGGCCGAUAUCAGAUUAGGUAGUUGGUGAGGUAAAGGCUCACCAAGCCGACGAUCUGUAGCUGGUCUGAGAGGACGACCAGCCACACUGGGACUGAGACACGGCCCAGACUCCUACGGGAGGCAGCAGUGGGGAAUUUUGGACAAUGGGCGCAAGCCUGAUCCAGCAAUGCCGCGCGCAGGAUGAAGGCCUC